rnacentral:rRNA from 1 species
UCGACCACCUCAGAGGCCGGAAGCUAUCCUAACUCGGUCAUUUAGAGGACAUUUAAGUCGUAACAAGGUAACCACCUGAUGGAGGGCGAUAACUACUAGAAACGGUAGCUAAUACCGCAUAAUGUCGCAGGACCAAAGAGGGGGACCUUCGGGCCUCUUGCCAUCAGAUGUGCCCAGAUGGGAUUAGCUAGUAGGUGGGGUAACGGCUCACCUAGGCGACGAUCCCUAGCUGGACUGAGAGGAUGACCAGCCACACUGGAACUGAGACACGGUCCAGACUCCUACGGGAGGCAGCAGUGGUGAAUAUUGCACAAUGGGCGCAAGCCUGAUGCAUCCAUGCCGCGUGUAUGAAGAAGGCCUUCUGGAAGUCAAGUACUUUCAGCGGGGAGGAAGGUGUUGUGGUUAAUAACCCCAGCAAUUGACGUUACCCGCAGAACAAGCACCAGCUAACUCCGUGCCAGCAGCCGCAGUAAUACGGAGGGUGCAAGCGUUAAUCGCAAUUACUGAACGUAAAGCGCACGCGCGCUGUCUGUCCAGUCGGAAAUGAAAUCCCCGGGCUCAACCUGGGAACUGCAUUCGAAACUGGCAGGCUGGAGUCUUGAAGAGGGUGGUAGAAUUCGAGGAGUAGCGAUGACUGCGUAUAAUCUGGAAAAUACCGGUGGCAAGGCGGUCCCCUGGACAAAACUGACGCUCAGAGCAA